rnacentral:tRNA from 1 species
GCGGCUUUACCUGGAAAUAACCUAGUCUUCCAAACUAGCUACGCGAGUUCGAUUCUCGUCACCCGCU